GAGGAGUGGGGCGGCCGCAGGGUCAGACAGACCUCCCCCUCCUCCCUUACAAGAGAUAUGUAAGGAUUGAUAAUGUUCCAUCAGGAACUCAUGUUUGUGAUAUAAAAAGUGAGCCUGAGAUCCUGCACCUGUGGUCCUCGGGCAGCCCGGGCGAGCACGGGAGAACCCGGAGCCCACCUGUGCCUGCCCCGAGCUGCAGCCCCACCUGCAUGCGCGUGUCUGGGAGCGGCUUCCGGGAACCGGGCAGCCACCGUGGUGCAGGCGCGCGCCUAGGGGCUUUGCGGGGUUCCCUCAGUCUGAGAGCGCAGAGGCUGCGAGUGUUGCUGUUGAAGGCUGUGGUGGACCUGGCUGGAUCGCGGAUUCUGGGCUAGAAAGCAGAUUUGGGAUCGCAGAUUGGGGGUUGGCGCCAGGUGGGGGUGGGAGGUGCCAUGGCUCAGCAGCUAGUUGUUGGGGAUCUGAGAAGAAGUCACCACCUUGAAGAAGUUCCUCGGCUUCGGGAGCCAGAGACCAAGGCAGAGCAGAACCUCAGGUCCUGGGCUCCAUAGACCCCGUCUACACCGCUCUGGGCACCGAAUCCGGGACACGGAACCGCGGAAGAUCCACAGGGCGCUGUCAGGGGCGACGCCGCGGAGGUGGAGCUGCCUGGCGUGCAGGAGCGGAGACCUGGACGCCUGGGACAAGCCUCACAGAGCAGUCCUCAUGCUUCCUGUACAUUAUGGCUCAUCGGAUAUUUUCAAUACUUUUCUUCAGCAAAAUAUUAAUGUCUUUACUCAAGUUAUGCAUGUAUGAGAUGCAGAAGAUUAUGCUUAUCAUGGUUGACGAGGUGUUUGUAUUAAAAGGCCAGUUAAUACUAAAUUGAUGUUUAAAAUAAUGGCAAUCAUUGAAUCUUACAGAUUAGGUGAGAGUUCAUAGUUUGGUUCAGGUAGUUUGAAAUAGCAGGAGUUAGUCCACUUUUUAGCUAGAAGUCAAGCCGAAGGCUAGAUUAGUUAGAAGUAGAAUGCAAGUAUGCCUAGGGAUGUCAAUGUGGUUCAUUUUAUUCUAAGUGUAAUCCCAUGCAUCAGAUAAAAAUGAAGCCACAUAUUUGACUUCUUUUGUCUUCAUUUCUUUCUUCUUUUUUUUUUUUUUCUUUCUUUUUUUUUUGAGGCAGGGUCUCACUAUCUUGACUAGGCUAGUCUUGAACUCCUGAGCAUAAGUAAUCCUCCUGCCUUGGCGUCUCAAAGUGCUAGCUACCAUGCCUGGCCUGACUUUUCGAAUGAGUUAUUGGGUCUUGAAAUGUUCAAUUUAGCAGAAAAUUUUGUAUUGUCCCCUGGGGCUAUCUCCUGUGUCUUCCUUCUUUGAAUUUUCCAAGAAGCUAAGGUGUUUCCUAAGUCCAAGGAAGGCAAUCUUUCUUUACAAGUCAGAAGGGGGAGAAGAGACCAUUCUAAUUAUUCUGUUGUUUCCAUGGAUUCACUUCUGUAUUGUUGCCAUUGUAACUGGUCCUGCAAUCUGAUAAUCAUUGACUUUUGCCACCAGGAUGCACUCACUGAUUCAGACCCCUCAGUUUUCAUGGUGAUUCACACAUAGUGUUCAAAGCUACGGUGUUUAUUGUUUAUGUACUUACGCUCAGCCAUUGUUCUCAGCACCCUGCUCUGGGAGCUGGGCCUCCUAGCUUUAUCCACACAAAUAGUGAGCAAAUUGAUGCUUCCCCUACACUAAAAACAUUAUUUGGAGCCCACAUCUUAGCUAGACUUAUUAGCCUAGGCCUUCAUGGUAAGUUAUCCUUUGAGACCUCUGUUGGUCUUUUCUCUAAUAAAUAUUAGUUGAGAUUGUUCCCACCAGUCAGAGAUGUUCAAAUAAUGUUGCAGGAAGAGAUUAGCAUUCCCUUUCCCUUUUGCUAUCAGAUUUGUAUCUUGAGGUUUUUUUUAUAUCCUGUGCAGCAGCUUUGAUUAGACAGCAGAAGGUUCCAUGUUAUCUUUCCACAGAGCAAUGGGAACCAACUUGUAGUUGGCCCCUCAAGUAAUCCAUUUCUACAGUAGUACAAAUCUCCCAGGCAGUAGCACAUCUACCUCAAGUUUCAAGUAUAUUUUAAAGUUCCACUUCACAGGAAACCAUUCGAUAACAUUCUCUGAAUCUCAAGUAGGUGAGUUGGAUUGAACAGAGCUAAGCUUCAUCUAUGACUCAUGAGUGUCCAUGUAUAAAACAGGGCUUCGUACUUGUUUCGGCAGUGCAUACUUUAAAAUUAGAUCAAUAGAGAGCAGAUAAGCAUAAGCAUGGCUGCUGCCUGAGGAUGGCUCACAAAUUCAUAAAGCAUUCCAUAUUUUGCAUUGCCCCUGAAAAGUCAUUUGACUAUUUCUUGAUCAGCUCCAAGGAAGCAGUGUGAGUCAAACCAAAACAGGAGAUACCCAAUAUUAAAAUUGUGAUUAUCACUAUAAAACUAUUGAUGUACGUGAAGUAUGAAGUGAGAACAGGGCUGAGUAACAUAUGGGAUGUUACGUGAAAAUAUGUUGUUAGUCCAUGUCUUGGAAAUGGGAAAAUGUCAACUUGCAUUUCCUUCAUAAACCUUAAAAACAAUAAAAGCAGGGUUUUUCUCGUGUGUUAGUUGGAGAGGACCAUGGCAAUCCAGCAUCCUGGCACGGAUGCGCUGGCUCAGAGUUUGAAGAGGUAGAGAGGGAGUGGUGGUUGUCCAAGCCAGGUUUUGACUUGGCUUUAAUUUGUCUGUUAAUUUUCUGCUCUUGGUGUGAUUGACAAGCUCAGUAAUAGGGCACAAUUAUGUUAUCUAUUCUAAUGAGAUAACAUAUUCAUAUAUAAAUUUAGUUAUAAGUUGUGAAUUAGCUAAAAUACCCUGAAUUACAAGCCACAAUAAAUAGAGCUAAUAAACAAAAUUAGCACUUAAUAACAUUUUAUGAAAACUGCAACAUUUGAAUAUUAGAACCUAUGGAAAAACACACAUCAAGCUUCAUUUGGGACUCCAAAAUAGUUUCAGCCAUAAAGUUCAAGAAUAAGUUAUUCCAUUGCUCUCCUAUUUCUCUGGACAUUUAAGCAUGGAAUCUCAUUACAUCUUCCUAACAACCUAGUGAAGUAAGGUAGCAAAAUCCUUAUUUUUUAGAAGAAACCACGGAGCCUAAGAGAAGCAACUUGUCUGAACACAAAUACCUAUUGGUUACAGAGCAAGGACCUGUUCUGAGUGCAGGACACUUUGCGUGAUGUCCAGCUGACUAUAGUUAAUUUACUGAGCUGUGCUCCCUUCAUUUAUGAGUACUUCACUUUUUUUUAAUUAAAAGGUUAAUAAACUUGUAAAGCUUAAAAUUUUGAAGUGUAUGGGACAGAAAUUAAAUUCUGGUAUUAGUGUUGAUAUUGCAUGAAAUGGUUUAAGAAUUUAAUAUACUUGGUAAAUAUUUUUUAUUUUAGUAUUAAAAAAGCAAUUUUAUUUAUUACUUUUUUAUACUUAGAAUUUGACACCAAAUUUUGAAACAUAAAAAGAAGAUACUUCAAGGCAAGUAAGAUUUCUGAUAGUGAAUUUUUCAUUUAUCUUGUUGAUACUACUCUUGAUAAAAAAGAAAGUAAGAUGUAAGAUUAAGGUAAUUUUAAUGGAAAAUGACCAGUUUUAAAAUAUGUGGAAAUUGCAAGUGUAUAUAUGUAUAUACAUAUAUGUAAAUUAAUUUUCAAAAUUUAACUUCUUUAGUUUAAAAUUCAGAGUUAUUUAAGAAGGAAGUUGUAUCUAAUUUAUAA
ensembl:lncRNA